AUUUUUAUGAUGUAAAAAACAUACUACAUUUUCAUUGUAGAAUUGAAAUAUAGUAUUUCUAAAAAUA
rnacentral:tRNA from 2 species